rnacentral:rRNA from 1 species
UACAGAGGGUGCGAGCGUUAAUCGGAAUUACUGGGCGUAAAGCGUGCGUAGACGGUUUCGUAAGUCGGGUGUGAAAUCCCCGGGCUCAACCUGGGAAUUGCAUUCGAAACUGCGAGGCUAGGGUACGGAAGAGGGAAGCGGAAUUUCUGGUGUAGCGGUGAAAUGCGUAGAUAUCAGAAGGAACAUCAGUGGCGAAAGCGGCUUCCUGGUCCAGUACCGACGUUCAGGCACGAAAGCGUGGGGAUCAAACAGG